rnacentral:lncRNA from 1 species
GUCUGAUUGCUGAGACACACAGUUGACAAAAUAUGAAUGAGUCUAGGCAACAGUCACUGUUCUUCAUCACACUUCCAGAUUUACAUCAACUGUGUGCUGUCCCAGUAAUAUUAAGUAACAGGGUGGUGGAUACUGAGAUUAGGAGUACACAAAUGAAGAUGUGCAGACAAUUGCUACUUUUGCAUGAAGAUAUUCUUAUAUCACCUGUCCCUGGAAUAUUCAACCAAAUUUGGGUGGUGAUGACGAUACCAUUUUUUAAAGCUGGGAAACUUAAUGCUUAUAUUGAAAAAUAUGAAGCUAAGAUGGAGGCUCCACAAAGAGUAAUUCCUGUAAUUCUUCAGAACUGCCUUUCGUAUUCAUUCAUGGCUAGACUUGCUCCAGCCUGGAAUAGAGCUGGACAUCUCUUGGUACAAGGAAGAGAUUUUCUUUCUCAGAUGGGAAAACAAAGUGCCAUUGUAUUAGACAUCAAUGUAACAGAAGCUCAAGUUUGUCUAAGUAUAGAAGUUUGCACUGUCAGACUGCCACCACCUGAGCUAAAGGAAUUUGAUAUUUCUCAGAGUACUAUAGAGAAUUUUCAUACUAACAAGAUGGCUGUUAUUGAAAGACAUUCCAUUUUGAGCAACUGGUGCUAUAUUUUGCCCAGUAUGAAAAUGGGACAAAUAAUAAAUAUUCUUCAUGCUGUACCUGCUGACUGUCCAUUCCAUUCAUUCGAAGAUUUCCAGAUGCACUGGGAUGACUUGUAUGGCUAUAAACUUCCAGAAGAUGAUAGAAAUAGUAAAAUAUACUGCAACAUCUACUUCAGAAUGAUCAGAGAAAGGACUUUUACGUAUCCUUUUUGCAAUAGUACUUGUAGGAGAUGCCCUCUGACCACCUUAUUUUCUGGUCUUGCUCCUGCUCCAUGAUGUCGUAUUUAAAUGAAAUUAGCUUUCCUCCAUUUCUUACCUGCACAAGUGUUUUGGGUUUUGCUUAGACUUUUCUCAUAUUUCAUUUGAGUAUGAGCUU